GUCUACAGCCAUCCCACCCUAAAUAUGCUUGAUCUCAUCUGAUCUCAGAAGCUAAGCAGGGUUGGGCCUGGUUAGUCCUUGGAUGGGGGCAACUAUAAAUC
ensembl:rRNA 5S_rRNA 5S ribosomal RNA